rnacentral:tRNA from 2 species
GUGGAUGUGGCUCAAUGGUAGAGCACUUGCCUAGCAUACAUGAGGCCUUGGGUUUGAUCCCCAGCACCACA